AUGACUGGAUUUCGGUAGGACACACAGUGCUAUUCCAGUUGACUUCACUGAUUGAGGCCAUUUUUAUAAUGGUGAGAAACAAAAAGGCACCUCUUAAAAAGAGCGAAAAAACCACAGUCACAGGCGAGUUAUUUGCCUGCAGCAUUUGCUGUGGGUACAGACCGUUUUAUUCUGUGGCCCGGACGCUGUAACGCACGACAUGAUGGAUCGGACCAGUUCCAAAACCUGAAAAACCAGCGAAGUGUACCCUCACCAUUGUUGCCUUCUUUUUCUUCAACGUAAGAAAGGCCACCUCCCCGGAUACUAUCAAAGAACACAACAAUCAGCAGGUUGCGAAGACUUUAAUAAAAUGGAUGUUUUAUUAAGAAGACAUUAAGAAGACAUAAAACAAUGUUUUUUGUGGGCUUUUAUAAAAUAACGAAUGCGUUUGAUUGGCUUUUAAACGAAAGCAGAAAUAAACUAAGCAUCAGCUUUUUUCCUUCAGAAAUUAUAAACAGAGUGUUAUUGGUUGCAAUGUUGUGAUAAAUGACCGCGAGUCACGUUUUCGAUGAUUUUGUUUUGAAAAGUCAAAGAACGAGUUUAGCGAGAAUUGGUGACAGUAAAUAUUAGAAUCCCAUUUUUUUUUGAAGGCGGUGAUAUUUGACAAAUACUGCUUCAUAAGGAUCUGAAUACCACAACCUAUAAUUUAAGACAAGCUGUGUCCCUAAUUCAAAUUGUUAUUGCAGAAUGGUAAAUCUAUGGAUAGCAUUGAGCAUUUCAGAUCCAACUGUCAAUUAGAGAAUCAGCAUUGUGCCUGAAGGGUGAAUGUGUACACUUUACGAGAACAAAUCUAUCUGUAGUGGCCCUUUAAUAGAAGCUGGGCCUGAACAACGCACGGAAUAAAAAUCUCCAAUUUG